AUUGAACGCUGGCGGCAUGCCUUACACAUGCAAGUCGAACGGUAACAGGUCUUCGGAUGCUGACGAGUGGCGAACGGGUGAGUAAUACAUCGGAACGUGCCUAGUAGUGGGGGAUAACUACUCGAAAGAGUGGCUAAUACCGCAUGAGAUCUACGGAUGAAAGCGGGGGAUCGCAAGACCUUGUGCUACUCGAGCGGCCGGCGGCAGGUUAGGGAGUUGGUGGGAUAAAAGCUUACCAAGCCGACGAUCUGUAGCUGGUCUGAGAGGUCGAACAGCCACAAUGGGAGUGAGACACGGCCCAGACUCCUUAGGGAGGCAGCAGUGGGAAAAGUUGGAAAAUGGGCGGAAGCCUGCUCCAGCCAGGCAGCGUGAAGGAGGAAGGCCUUGGGGUUGUAAACUGCUUUUGUAGGGAACGAAAAGCCCUGGGUUAAGACCCUGGGGUCAUGACGGUACCGUAAGAAUAAGCACCGGCUAACUACGUGCCAGCCGCCGCCGUAAUAC
rnacentral:rRNA from 1 species